AUGUGUGACACUGCCCUCCCUGACUCUGCCUGGGGCCCCACCCUGCUCUGCUGUGUUACUGUCUUUCUCUUGGGAACAAGUUCAGCAAGUCCCGGGGCCAUCCAGUCUCCAAGACACAUAAUCAAAGCAAAGGGAGAAAGGUCCAUUCUGAAAUGUAGUCCCAUCUCUGGACAUUACAGUGUGAGCUGGUACCAACAGACUCUGGGGCAGGAACUAAGGUUCCUCAUUCAGCAUUAUGAAAAAACGAAAAGAGCGAAAGGAAACAUGCCCAACCGAUUCUCAGUCCAGCAGUUCAGUGACUAUCGCUCUGAGAUGAACAUGAGCGCCUUGCAGCUGGAGGACUCUGCUGUGUACUUCUGUGCCAGCUCACCACAGCCUUACAGAGUGACAGGCUUUCUGUCCCUUAAUCUUCCUGUCCCCGCUGGUGAUGUACUAGGGAGAGGUUGUGAGAUUCCACAUAGCCUUAGCCAAAGCCCAGAAACGCUCCUAGAUCUUUACUAA